UGAGCUCCUCUGCGCUCUUCUUCUCUACUGUCGCACCUCGAGAUCCUGGUGUGGUCACGCGGAAGACGCCGAAUCACCCCGCUGCAGCAAGGCAGGUCUGCCCACACCCUACCGAGGUCCUGAGUGGCACAGAACACGCCGAAUCAGCCCGCUGCAGACAGGCAGGUCUGUGCACGCCCUACCGAGGUCCUGAGUCGCGAGGAAGAUGC
rnacentral:lncRNA from 1 species